AUGAACGCUAGCUACAGGCUUAACACAUGCAAGUCGAGGGGCAGCAUGGUCUUAGCUUGCUAAGACUGAUGGCGACCGGCGCACGGGUGAGUAACACGUAUCCAACCUGCCGUCUACUCUUGGACAGCCUUCUGAAAGGAAGAUUAAUACAAGAUGGCAUCAUGAGUCCGCAUGUUCACAUGAUUAAAGGUAUUCCGGUAGACGAUGGGGAUGCGUUCCAUUAGAUAGUAGGCGGGGUAACGGCCCACCUAGUCUUCGAUGGAUAGGGGUUCUGAGAGGAAGGUCCCCCACAUUGGAACUGAGACACGGUCCAAACUCCUACGGGAGGCAGCAGUGAGGAAUAUUGGUCAAUGGGCGAGAGCCUGAACCAGCCAAGUAGCGUGAAGGAUGACUGCCCUAUGGGUUGUAAACUUCUUUUAUAAAGGAAUAAAGUCGGGUAUGCAUACCCGUUUGCAUGUACUUUAUGAAUAAGGAUCGGCUAACUCCGUGCCAGCAGCCGCGGUAAUACGGAGGAUCCGAGCGUUAUCCGGAUUUAUUGGGUUUAAAGGGAGCGUAGAUGGAUGUUUAAGUCAGUUGUGAAAGUUUGCGGCUCAACCGUAAAAUUGCAGUUGAUACUGGAUAUCUUGAGUGCAGUUGAGGCAGGCGGAAUUCGUGGUGUAGCGGUGAAAUGCUUAGAUAUCACGAAGAACUCCGAUUGCGAAGGCAGCCUGCUAAGCUGCAACUGACAUUGAGGCUCGAAAGUGUGGGUAUCAAACAGGAUUAGAUACCCUGGUAGUCCACACGGUAAACGAUGAAUACUCGCUGUUUGCGAUAUACUGCAAGCGGCCAAGCGAAAGCGUUAAGUAUUCCACCUGGGGAGUACGCCGGCAACGGUGAAACUCAAAGGAAUUGACGGGGGCCCGCACAAGCAGUGGGGUAUGUGGUUUAAUUCGAAGCAACGCGAAGAACCUUACCUGAUCUUGACAUCCCGAUGACCGCUUCGUAAUGGAAGCUUUUCUUCGGAACAUCGGUGACAGGUGGUGCAUGGUUGUCGUCAGCUCGUGUCGUGAGAUGUUGGGUUAAGUCCCGCAACGAGCGCAACCCCUAUGUUCAGUAGCCAGCAUUUAGGAUGGGCACUCUGGACAGACUGCCGGGGAUAACCCGGAGGAAGGCGGGGAUGACGUCAAAUCAUCAUGCCCCUUAUGACCUGGGCUACACACGUACUACAAUGGCCGCUACAGAGGGAAGCUAAGUAGUGAUAUGGAGCAAAACCCUAAAAACGGUCUCAGUUCGGAUUGAAGGCUGAAAUUCGCCUUCAUGAAGCUGGAAUUGCUAGUAAUGGCAGGUCAGCAUACUGCCGUGAAUACGUUCCCGGGCCUUGUACACACCGCCCGUCACACCAUGGGAGUCAGUAACGCCCGAAGUCAGUGACCCAACCGUAAGGAGGGAGCUGCCGAAGGUGGGACCGAUAACUGGGGUG
rnacentral:rRNA from 1 species